rnacentral:lncRNA from 1 species
UUGAAAUGGAGGAUAAAUCUGCUAAUAACUUGUGUGAUAACUAAGAUGUGAUAAAUCUUGUGAUGACUUGGACUAUUAGAUAAUCGUCAGAAGUCACGAUGAUGAGUUGAUAUGACCCCGAGACGAGGUCUCGGUAAGUCAUGCUUGUGCUCCGAGGAGCCGUGGUAGAGUAAGUGAUUGUUGCAUAAGAUUGAUACAACAUGUCUUCACGGGAGGUAACUGGUAGUUUAUUUUCAGCAUAGUUUCCUAAUGUCAUGCCAUGUUUUGAUAUGCUAUGCUUUGUUGUUUCUUUGCUAGAAGUUUGAUAUGCCAUGCUAGUAGAUGAUGUGAUGUUAUUCAUGCUUAGUUUGAUUUAUGAUUCUAGUUAAUAUCAUGCCAUGCUUAGAAGUUGUGUUGAAGUAGACUGUUGCAUAUGCUUGGUUCUUGCUUUGUCAUCUGUUUGUUUGGAUUCUAUGUAUUUGGUUGUCUUGCAAGUACAUUCAAUGUACUAACCUGGCGUGUCAUGCCAGUUUUGUAGGUCGUGCCCGAAUUGUUCGCUUGAUCCAUCGUGCUAGGCCGUAAUCUUGCCAGUCCUGUGAGUUAUGUAGCCCAGCUAGAGAGAGACGCUGCCAACCCAAGACUUCCGCCGCCAUUUAAAUAGACUUCCGCUGCCAUCCGUAUAGCCUUAGGGCUAUGCCAGAUAAUUGUAUUCAUCAAUGAUGUAAUCAUAUACACAUGUAUUUGAUGAAUAUUAUUGUACCUGGAAUGCUGUAUCAUGGACCUGUCGUGCGUCAGGCGCAAUCCUGGGCUGACGUGCAAAGGCCCCCUGUUCCAUGCGGAUCGGGGUGCCACAGGAGAUGGUAUCAGAGCCAGGCUGGCAUAGAUUACCCUAGCAUUAGAUUACCGCUACCAUCAACCUAUAAUGACCCUAAGGGAUUUGACCCAUCCCUGGCAUCCGGCAUGGCCACUGUUAAUCAACAUGUGGCGCAGUCGGGACCGACACAUCCUCACCCCGCUGUCCCUUCCUAGUUAUCCGUGGAACGUGUAGUAACGCUAUCCUUUCUGGUCGGCCACACCCUUCACCAUUAAGGGAAAGGGGCCACACCAUGCAGGCCUGUCCCGCGUAGCUGCCUAUAAAACCCCCUUUCCGCUAGCAGUAUCGCUCGCUCCUCAGUCCGCCAUGUCCCUGCAGAAAAGCUUAGCUAGUAGCUCCCCAGCCAUGGCUCGCACCUUCAGAGAUCCCAGGUUUUACACCCGCACCUGUGCCGUCAACCACACUGGCUUUCCAACCCUUCUUGCCGAGAUGCUCACCAAAGCCUUUGGCUGUAAGGCUAGGCCCGAUUACCUGGUGUUCCAAUCGUCACCCGUUCCUCACCUUCAUCACUUUGAUGCAAGAGUGCACAUCAGCCUAAGUCCCGUAGUAGAUGGCCUGCCUUUGGUUUUACAGGGGAGAGCCAUGCCUACCUCUGAUUUAGCCAUUCGGGCCGCUGCUGUGGAGGCUAUCCUACACCUUCGAACCAAGUUCCCGCAUGUCGCAACAAGGCGGGAGUUCUGCUUUUUCCCCAGUGUGGCAAAAGUAGUAAUGCAGCCUUCUCCUGUUAGCCAAGGAGAUGAUCCCGCAAUCGCUCGCCUGGUGCAAUAUAUCACUGCCCAGGGGAUGAUGAUUUCAAAGAUGCUUGCCGAGUUUAGAACCAUGGACAACGAUGUGGUACGAGUCGUCAAGGAAGCUUACCGUGAGGCUCGUAAAUUCGCAUCUCAAGCCGUUUGUCCAAUGCCAUCUGAACCAGUGCUAUCCUCUCAGCCUGUGCUGUGUCCCAAGCCAAACAUCAUCACCCUCGACAAGGCUCUUUUACGGAUCCACCAGCAGCAUUUGCUUGGAUCGAUUUCAGCCACACCUCCAGCAGUAGAGCUCCAACCCAUAGUAGCGUCGGACGAUGAAGAUGGAGAUUGGCUCAGUCUUCGUCCUCCAGGAGAGCCCCAACAAGGCCAGUCUUCUGCAUGUCCUCAGUCACGCAGUCAAUGGUUUCUGCUAGUAGGUUGGUCCGUCGGUUCAUCCCCGAGAUGAUGAUAGAACCAUGUAUCCCGGAGCGAGUAGUUUUGUUUAAGCGCGUAGUGCGUUAGUGCUUUGUUGUAUGCUCGUACUGUUGUAACCCGUAUGCUGUGUUAUUUGCUUGCUUGCUUUUGUUUGUGUGUUUAUUUUUGCUUGUCUCUCUGUCAAGCAGAAAUGUUUGACAGGGUUGGCAAUGUUUGCUAACAAGAUUUUAAUUAGUACGACACAUACACUACAAACAACAAUUACUCGUCCCGAGUCUUUAAUAAAAUGCGCGUUGAUGUAGGUAUAUGUAUGCCAGGAGUACAUAUACCGACUAGCAUUAAAACACCUUAGUGAUUAGCCUGGUGUGUUUUUCUGUUGCCUGUAUGUUGCAUCUGUCUGCUUGCUUGUUAGUUUAGACUACCUUGCAUCCUGCAUGCAUACCCGGUUCACCCACGACUACAUUUAGGGCAGUACUUGGGGAAAAGCAAAGUCACAUAUCCCUCUCUACCUGCGCAUACCCCGUGUGCCAGAUUUUUAAACCCAGAGCCUCGAAGAGGCAUUUCCAUCUGGCCAUUUCUCGACCCUAGUUCUUUUUUGUUAACCCAAUCGCGUUUCCGGAGAAACGCUGCCAGCUUUAUUUCUCACGAUCCAUUACAACUCCCCGAUACAGAUUUCAACUCCGAUUCUACCUCGACACCUACAUUUCGUGGAGCAAUCCGCGAAAAUUUUCCCGUGCUCUAGUUUGAUUCAUGAGCUGGUGUAGCAACUUCACCCACAUCUGAACCCCUUCACCGCUGCCUUGCAUGGUGCAGCAAGUCGCCAUCACCGCUCCACCGCAGCACGCGAUUAUUCCGCCUGUGCGAAUUGACGGAGAAUCAAGCGUGGCGGAGGACCACCCCGUGCACCAUCUUCUUUCGCACCUCGAGCCACCGCACCUAGCCGCGCGUUGUCCCGAAUCCGAUCAUUCCUGAUGAGGAUCAGCAGGAGAAACCACUGUUCAUUGGGGUGCAUCCAGCAUUUUUUCGGGAGUCUGAUCUCGAGUGCCCCUCGCCGUGGAGGUAACCCUGUUUUGCUCAUAUCUCUCUUUGGGUGUACCAAUCAUUGGUACCCCAACUCGUUCAAACCUGACCGAAGGGUUAAAAUUAACCCAGAGGUUUUUCCCGGAGUGUCUAUCUUUCCUUUGGUGCUGUAACCCUAGGAAUCUUGAGGACGAGAUUCUUUUUAAGGGGGGAACGUUUGUAACAGCCCCAAAAUCGGGUUAUCAAUUUUUGUGCUGUUAUUCCUUCCUGGCACUCAUUUUCAAAAUUUUCUCCUGAGUUCGCUAGAUGACUCUGAGAAUUCUUGUCAUUUCCAACCUUUCAAAACCUUGCUCAUGUCUUUGUCAGUGGGUAAGACCUCAUUUGCCUCAGCUCCAACCCUCUCAAACCAUAAUUCCAAAUUUUUGGAAUUUGAUCAUGACCUUUGUGAUUACAAAGGAGCCAUCAUUUUCCUUGAUCUAUUGAUCAUACCAUCUAUUCCCAGAGACCCUCCUAUCCUUUUCAACCUUGGAUAUGCAAAAAUAUUGCCAAGUCCCAUGCAAUAUUUUUGAAUUAUGAUUUAUUCCUUUUCUUGCCUUUCUGAGGAAUAAAAUCCAAAGGCAUAGCUAGCCAUCUCCUAAAUUCAUUUGAAUUUGUGGAGUUGAUAAUUAUGCCUAAUCCAAGCUCUGGCAAUUGUAUUGGCCAUAGUUGAAUAAGAAAAAUUGCUUUUUCCUAUUUAAUGACAAUAUUGCCUUUCUGCCAUUUUCUAAAGGAACUACUAUUUUUAUAGCAGAGAAAAUAUCCAAAUAAAUUGUGGAGCUUGUCCUUGAUAUAUAGUCACUAGUUCCAUCCUUAUCUCAUGUUCCACAGAUCAAAAUUUGGGCACAUGAUCCAAUGCAAGUUUCUGCCUUCUCUGCAAUUUUGCAAAGGAAGUGCUUUAUUCCUAAUUCCUUUUGAGCUUCAAUUUGUCAGGGUGAUUUACCUUGAUAGAUCACAUAUGGAUACCAAAGAUGAGCUCAAUCCAAUCAUCCUAGCUCCCUGUGCAAUUUUUCAAAGUUUCUGACAAGAUUGUAACUUUGUGAAGGAAGUACCUUCAUAGAGUUUCCAAAGGGGAUGAAACUUUUCCAUCCUCUCAAUUAUCCCAAAUAAGUAUCCUCCACCCAAAUUCAGCUCAUUUCAUUGAGCUAUGUGAGAACAUGAGCAAUUCUUGUGUUUCGUCCAAAUUUUCAGUUUGUGAAGAAAGUAUAUUUUGUGUUGCUCCAUUAUGGCUUAAAAUAUUCCCAAGCCUUCUCUUAUACAUAUAACCCACCUACCCAAGAGAUUGGAUCAUUCCAUGUAGCUAAUAUUUUCCUAGAAUUUUCUCAAGUUUCUGGUCAAAAGUGAUGCUUGUGAAGUAAGUACCAAUUUGGCAUGUCCAUUUGGUAUUAUCUUGUUUCCGAAUCUACAUAUGACCAAUUCAUGAGGAAUUGCCAAGUGGUAGCCAAAUCCAACACUCCUAGUGAGUGUUUCUUCCUCAUUUGUUUUCUGGGCCAUAUUUGACAGUUGCACUGCAACUAUGUUAAAUACUUUCCCAAAUACCUUCAAACUUCUCAGGACCGUAGUCCUUGCUAGCCUAAACCUCCUAGACAUCACGCUUAGUCCUUAGACCCUCUAGUUUGAUCACCAAGAUGUGGCCAAGUUUGCAACAACAAACUUGUCGAACUUGGUUCCCUCUGCCCCCUUCACCUCUGCAUGUGAAAUCACCUCAGUCUUAAUUAGCUUCCGAAGUACUACGCUUUAGACAUCAUUUGGCACCAACUAGACUACCAGAGCAUGCAUUGUCGGUGGUGACCCCGGGCAGUGCCAGCCAAAUAGGUGGUCUGCACACUGUUGGCCACAGUAUCGCCGCUCCGGCUGGCUCUGGCUCGUCCGAGCUUGUCAAAUAGCUCAGCCUCAUCGUCGCCGUGCGCCUUGACCCAUUUCCCCCUUCGUUUGCUUCCUCGUUGAGCCGUUGCCGUCACCGAACACAGUGAGCUCCCGUGUGCGCCCUCGUUUCCUUGCUCCUGUCCGUUUCCCCCCUCGUCCGCGAGCGUUCCUCGUCUCCGUGACCUCCCGGCACUCUUCCGCGUCCCCCUUGUCGCCUUCCCGCCGUUCCCCGUGACCCUUGGCUGCGCGUGCGCUUCGCCGGCGCACGGACACGUAGCCACGCCGCGUGUCGCCUCGCCCCUCCCUCUAGAGCUCGUCCCCGCGACUAUAAGUAGAGCCCUCGAGCUCUCUCGCAGCUCACAACCCCUCCCCGAGCCGGAGCCCUUCCCAUCCCCUCCUCUGGCCGAGAUGCCGCCGCCGUUCCCCUCUGCCAUCUCCGGCCAUGGCCUUUCCCCCUCGCUCUCCUCUGCAUCCACGACCUCCCUGGAGCCGCAUACCUCCACCACCCCACCCAACUCCGGCGUAGGAGCCCCUCCGAGGCACCUCCCCUUGAAGCUCUCUGGCCACCGCGACCGGUCCAUGGCGCUGUCGCUGUGAGCCAUCCCGAGCGAUCCCGAGACCACCAGUAGGUGCGGCGGAGAGUGGCGGAGCGCCUGAGCUCGUCGGCCGGCCUGGGGAGCCAGCCAGGCGAUGACGGCGCCGGCACCCGAGCCUCCUCUGCUCUGUGUCGCGAUGGGGAAGACGACCCAGGAGGAGGAGGGAAAACUCGUCGUGGGCCCCAUGCGUCAGCCUCCCAGGCGCUAACCCGGGCGGGCCCGUUGACCCUUUAAGUGAAAGCGUAUUUCUUAAAUACUUCUUCAGCCCAGCCCCACCUCUGCCACGUGUGAACUGGAGGCGUAUUCUGUGAAAUACGUCUCGCCCACACGAAUGCGUAUUCCAACGAAAGGCGCGUUCAUUUUUUUUCCUCCAGGGGCCUAUUUGCUGAAAAAAAUUCACCGAUAGGUCCCUGAACUUCAACCCUUCGUAUCUCGACAACCGUAACUCCGAUUAAGGUGAUUCCAACGCUCAUGUCUUUGUUUUGUCGAGGCCGUUCCGUUCCCAUCAUUUUCACUAUGGUUUGACAUAUUGAAAAUGACCACUUUGCCCUUGCCCAUAAAUAGCCCCCUCCGAGAGAGAACUGUUUUUGGCAAAUCUUUCCACGACCGUUUUACACUUUUUCCCGGAGUAUUUAUCGACCCUAGGCAAGCUAACCUCUUAUCAUGAGCCGAACUUGCAUGUUGACUUUGCUUGCACCUCAUGUGUGUGUGUUUAGUUGCAGUAGUUUCUUGUUUGUUCCGUCUGCUGUUAUUUUAGUCUUGCUAUAUGUUUUGUUAUCUGCCUUGCAUGCUUAUGUUUUCAUAAAAUAAGUUGACAUGCUAGUUUGAUGUUUUUACUAAUAAUAUCAUGCCUCUGUCUAGUUUAGUUUCAUGUUAGUAGUAUCGAUGUUAUGAUAAUUCUAUUGCACUGUUAAGUUUGCUAGUAUUUGGUAUUACCAUGUUUCGCAUGCUAUCAUUGUUCUUCUAAAAUGCUUGAUAUUUUGUUACUGCAUUGGUAUGUUGCAUGUUAGUUGUUGCAUUCAUGUUAAUAAUGCUCGUAUAAUGAUUGUUGAUGGAGAAGUUAAUAAUAUGACUUAAUAACAAACCUCCUCCGUCAUCACUGGGAUAUUAUAGUGCCACCAAAUCGAGCUUUCUCGAGUGCAACCUCAUUUACCUUAUGGGAAGGUCUUGAUUCGGUCCUUUGCCAUGGCUCUCACCGGUGACUCCCGCGAGGGAAGGUUAAGGGCACGCGCUACCCUGAUCAGGUAGGCGGACAUAACCUUGUGUGCUCGUUUUUCUUUUUAUGGUAUACCUUGUCCCCGUUUGGGACCGUUUUGCCACGACGGUGGCCGCUGGUGUCUUUGGUAGACACAGGGCCACCCAAGACCUAGCCCUGAGGGGGAGUUGGUCGGAGUGGCCGGGGAGAGUGCAUGACAAAGGGAGGGUUUCGUCGGAAUAUUUUGGUCCACCCGAAUGGGAAAGCGAGGCCAGGUACUCUGUGGUGUGGGUAAAGUGCGCAACCUCUACAGAGUGUAUUCAAUCUAUCGAUAGCUGCGUCCUCGGUCAUGGGCACAAGUUCGUAGUAGGUCACACUAUUGGGUCUCGAUUGAAAUGGAGGAUAAAUCUGCUAAUAACUUGUGUGAUAACUAAGAUGUGAUAAAUCUUGUGAUGACUUGGACUAUGAGAUAAUCGUGAGAAGUCACGAUGAUGAGUUGAUAUGACCCCGAGAUGAGGUCUCGGUAAGUCAUGCUUGUGCUCCGAGGAGCCGUGGUAGAGUAAGUGAUUGUUGCAUAAGAUUGAUGCAACAUGUCUUCACGGGAGGUAACUGGUAGUUUAUUUUCAGCAUAGUUUCCUGAUGCCAUGCCAUGUUUUGAUAUGCUAUGCUUUGUUAUUGCUUUGCUAGAAGUAAGUUUGAUAUGCGAUGCUAGUAGAUGUUAUGCUGUUAUUCAUGCUUAGUUUGAUUUAUGAUUCUAGUUAAUAUCAUGCCAUGCUUAGAAGUUGUGUUGAAGUAGACUGUUGCAUAUGCUUGGUUCUUGCUUUGUCAUCUGUUUGUUUGGAUGCUAUGUAUUUGGUUGUCUUGCAAGUACAUUCAAUGUACUGACCUGGCGUGUCAUGCCAGUUUUGUAGGUCGUGCCUGAAUUGUUCGCUUGAUCCGUCGUGCUAGGCCAUAAUCUUGGUAGUCCUGUGAGUUAUGGAUCCCAGCUAGAGAGAGACGCUGCCAACCCAAGACUUCCGCCGCCAUUUAAAUAGACUUCUGCUGCCAUCCGUAUAGCCUUAGGGCUGUGCCAGAUAAUUGUAUUCAUCAAUGAUGUAAUCAUAUACACAUGUAUUUGAUGGAUAUUAUUGUACCUGGAAUGCUGUAUCAUGGACUUGUCGUGCGUUAGGCGUAAUCCUGGGCUGACGUGCCAAGGCCCCCUAUUCCAUGUGGAUCGGGGUGCCACAUCCUGCCUCUCCCUCGUGUUUUCUUUGGAAUUUCCUCCUUGUCGUCAUCCGGAAGCUGGAUAACAUCCACCGGCGCAGCAGUCACUUGACAAUGAGAUUCCAAUCGACCACCAAUACAGUUAACAAGGCAUAAGCAUAUUUGCAAAGGUCAUACCUGCUCGAGAAGUGGCCAUGUCCGCAGUUUCUGUGUCAGCUUGUUCAUCGUCAACAUCCAUAUGGGACGCUCCAGAAGUGGCACCACUGGAAGUUCAAGAUCUCACUCGGUCAGAAACAAACAAAAGUCCACAACAAAAGUUAAGAAAAGAAAAUAAACACUUACGCCAAAGCAACAGGCACGACCACUUUGAUUUUGGGCACAGCCUUCCGGGAUU